AAUGAACGUUGGCGGCAUGGAUUAGGCAUGCAAGUCGAGCGAGAAGAGUUUUGAAGCUUGCUUUAGAACUCGGACAGCGGCGAAAGGGAGAGUAACGCGUAGUUAUGUGCCCUAGGGUCCGGAAUAGCCACGGGAAACUGUGGGUAAUGCCGGAUGAUAUCCCCGGAUCAAAGGUGUGAUUCCGCCCUAGGAGCAGACUGCGUCCUACUAGCUAGUUGGUGGGGUAAUGGCCCACCAAGGCAAUGAUGGGUAGCGGGUGUGAGAGCAUGACCCGUCUCACUGGGACUGAGACACUGCCCAGACACCUACGGGUGGCUGCAGUCGAGAACCUUCGGCAAUGGGCGAAAGCCUGACCGAGCGAUGCCGCGUGCGGGAUGAAGGCCCUCGGGUUGUAAACCGCUGUCGUAGGGGAGGAAGGUUCCGUGAAGAGCGGGACUUGACCUAUCCUAGGAGGAAGUACGGGCUAAGUUCGUGCCAGCCGCCGCGGUAACAC
rnacentral:rRNA from 1 species